rnacentral:lncRNA from 1 species
CUACUACAGUCUGUCUCGAGAGCCUUAAACCUUCUGGACACUAUCAGACUAUCACUUGCAGCUCAGUCUAUUGCUUCGCAGCCUUCUGGAUCCUCUCAUCCAUCCACUCGUGCCGGCACCUCCACUCGUGGCAGAGACAGACAGGGUCGAGGUCGAGCUCUUGGUCGUGAUCCUUCAUCUCCUUACCCCAUUUCUGAUUCAUCUGACUCUGAUCCAUCCAGUCAUGAUUUCUACUAGAUCCUGAGUAGUUAGUCUCUCCUUUAGUUUUAGUCUAGGAUCUAUCUUUUGGGCCAUGUAAUGAUGUUGACUGAUUGACUUUUGUAUUU